rnacentral:tRNA from 1 species
GGCCCUAUAGUGUAGAGGUUAUCACCUCGGAUUCUGAACAUAGUUCAAACUUCCGGUAACGCAGGUUCGAGUCCUGCUAGGGCCU